rnacentral:rRNA from 1 species
AACGAACGCUGGCGGCAUGCCUAACACAUGCAAGUCGAACGAGAUCUUCGGGUCUAGUGGCGCACGGGUGCGUAGCGCGUGGGAAUCUGCCCUUUGGUUCGGAAUAACAGUUGGAAACGACUGCUAAUACCGGAUGAUGACGAAAGUCCAAAGAUUUAUCGCCAGAGGAUGAGCCUGCGUAGGGUUAGCUAGUUGGUGUGGUAAAGGCGCACCAAGGCGACGAUCCUUAGCUGGUCUGAGAGGAUGAUCAGCCACACUGGGACUGAGACACGGCCCAGACUCCUACGGGAGGCAGCAGUGGGGAAUAUUGGACAAUGGGCGAAAGCCUGAUCCAGCAAUGCCGCGUGAGUGAUGAAGGCCUUAGGGUUGUAAAGCUCUUUUACCCGGGAUGAUAAUGACAGUACCGGGAGAAUAAGCUCCGGCUAACUCCGUGCCAGCCGCCGCGGUAA